rnacentral:rRNA from 1 species
UACAGAGGUCUCAAGCGUUGUUCGGAUUUACUGGGCGUAAAGGGCGCGUAGGCGGUCAGCACAAGUCAGUUGUGAAAUCUCCGGGCUUAACUCGGAAAGGUCAACUGAUACUGUGCGACUAGAGUGCAGAAGGGGCAACUGGAAUUCUCGGUGUAGCGGUGAAAUGCGUAGAUAUCGAGAGGAACACCUGCGGCGAAGGCGGGUUGCUGGGCUGACACUGACGCUGAUGCGCGAAAGCCAGGGGAGCAAACGGG